AAUUAUUAAGAGUAGAGUUGCAUGAUUGGUGCUAUAAAAAUCUGAGAGCAAGGUGAGUCCACAGCUGACAGCACUGUUACUCUUGAAAUCUUCAUCAAUGGAAGAAGCAUUAUUAUUGGUGAAGAAAGAAGAAGUGUAUUAUGAGAAUUGCCCUGGUUGCAAGGUUGACAAAGCCAAACACCUCACAAAUGGAAUCUCAAUUCGGAAUCUUCUUUAUAUAUGGCUUGCAGUCUUAUGUGGAACGCUGCCUGUGUGUUCUCUCUUUCCAUUUGUUUAUUUCAUGGU